AACAGCAUAUUACCCCCUCCGUUCCUAAAUAUAAGACUUUUUAGAGAUUGCACUAUAAACUACAUACGGAUGUACAUAGACAUAUUUUAGAGUAUAGAUUCACUCAUUUUACUUCGUGUGUAGUCUUCUAAUGAAAUCUUUAAAAGGUCUUAUGUUUUGAUGCCCGAUGGUUUUGUGGUAGGAUGUGGGUGGGGCUGCUCAUGUAUUUUAUUUCUUAUUUUUGAUCUGUUUUGUAAGAGGGUCUUCUUAAAACCUUGUAUCAGUUUGAAAGUUCGACGUGAAUACCUUUCUUAAUAGUUGAAGGCCGCUACAUCAUAUUUUUCAUGUAGAUUUUGUAUCUAUAUAAGCCCACAAUAAAAAAUAUGUUUUGUAUCUAUAUAAGGCCAUCAACAUUAAACGAGGCAAAAAUUAUAGCAUUUCCUCGUACUAGUAACUUAUUUAAUAUUUGCAUGCAUUUGAUCAUAA
rnacentral:lncRNA from 1 species